rnacentral:rRNA from 1 species
AUGGCGUUGCACUGCGCUGCCGCCGUCAGCGUCUCGCCGUCCACCGGCCAGUGCCUCCUGCAUCGUCAACACCACCGCCGGUGUGCUGUGCCAAGGCCACGGUUCCGGCCGCAGCCACGCGGCCUGACAACCACCGGUGGCCCUGCCCGGUGGGCGUGCGGCGCCAGGAGGCGGGUGAGGUACGAGGAAGAGGAUGAGGACGAGGAGGAGUACGGGCACAACGAGGAGAUGGCGCGGCUGGAGGCCUACAGCGAGGGAGCGCGCGACGUGGCCCUCCUGGUCACGGCCGCCGUCGACGGCGAGCUCGAGCCCGUGCUCGUCUUCAAGGGCUUCUCGUCGAGCCUGAGCGGGAGGACGGCGCCGGACCCGGCCAUGAGCGUGCUCCCGGAGAGGGCCGUCAUACAGCGCGUCGACGUGGUCAAGGGGCCGUUCGACCCCAGCAACAUCGAAUACCUCGAGAAGGAUCUGCCAUGGGAAGAAUUCAAGAGCCGCCUCCAAUAG